rnacentral:rRNA from 1 species
AUUGAACGCUGGCGGCAUGCUUUACACAUGCAAGUCGAACGGUAACAGGCCUUCGGGUGCUGACGAGUGGCGAACGGGUGAGUAAUGCAUCGGAACGUACCCAGAGGUGGGGGAUAACGCAGCGAAAGCUGUGCUAAUACCGCAUGUGAUCUGAGGAUGAAAGCGGGGGACCGAGCAGCAAUGUUUGGCCUCGCGCCUUUGGAGCGGCCGAUGUCGGAUUAGCUAGUUGGUGGGGUAAAGGCCUACCAAGGCGACGAUCCGUAGCUGGUCUGAGAGGACGACCAGCCACACUGGGACUGAGACACGGCCCAGACUCCUACGGGAGGCAGCAGUGGGGAAUUUUGGACAAUGGGCGCAAGCCUGAUCCAGCAAUGCCGCGUGCGGGAAGAAGGCCUUCGGGUUGUAAACCGCUCUUGGCAGGAACGAAACGGUGUCCGCUAAUACCGGGCGCUAAUGACGGUACCUGCAGAAUAAGCACCGGCUAACUACGUG